UACAGAGGUCUCAAGCGUUGUUCGGAUUCAUUGGGCGUAAAGCGCACGUAGGCGGCUCCGCAAGUCGGAUGUGAAAUCCCUCGGCUCAACCGAGGACGUGCAUCCGAAACUGCAGAGCUUGAGUAUGGAAGAGGGUCGCGGAAUCCCCGGUGUAGAGGUGAAAUUCGUAGAUAUCGGGGGGAACACCAGUGGCGAAGGCGGCGACCUGGGCCAAUACUGACGCUGAGGUGCGAAAGCGUGGGGAGCAAACAGG
rnacentral:rRNA from 1 species